rnacentral:rRNA from 1 species
GACGGGGCCCGCACAAGCGGUGGAGCAUGUGGUUUAAUUCGAUGCAACGCGAAGACCUUACCUAGGCUUGACAUCCCUGGAAUUUUGUGGAAACACAAAAGUGCCUUUCGGGGAACCAGGAGACAGGUGCUGCAUGGCUGUCGUCAGCUCGUGUCGUGAGAUGUAGGGUUAAGUCCCGCAACGAGCGCAACCCUUGUCUUUAAUUGCCAUCAUUGAGUUGGGCACUUUAAAGAGACUGCCGGUGUUAAACCGGAGGAAGGUGGGGAUGACGUCAAGUCCUCAUGGCCUUUAUGCCCAGGGCUACACACGUGCUACAAUGGGUGGUACAAAGAGCAGCCAGCUCGCGAGAGUGAGCAAAUCUCAAAAAGCCAUCCUCAGUUCGGAUUGGAGUCUGCAACUCGACUCCAUGAAGCCGGAAUCGCUAGUAAUCGUGGAUCAGCAUGCCACGGUGAAUACGUUCCCGGGCCUU